ACUCAAAGGAAUAGACGGGGGCCCGCACAAGCGGUGGAUCAUGUGGUUUAAUUCGAAGCAACGCGAAGAACCUUACCUGGAUUUGACAUCUCUGGACAUCCGUAGAGAUACGGCUUUCGUAGCAAUACGACCAGAAGACAGGUGCUGCAUGGCUGUCGUCAGCUCGUGUGGUGACAUGUUGGGUUAAGUCCCGCAACGAGCGCAACCCCUGUCCUUAGUUGCCAGCAUUCAGUUGGGCUCUCUAAGGAGACUGCCGUGGUUAACACGGAGGAAGGUGGGGAUGACGUCAAGUCCUCAUGGCCUUUAUAUCCAGGGCGACACACGUGAUACAAUGGACGGUACAGAGGGAAGCGAAACCGCGAGGUGGAGCCAAUCUCAAAAAGCCGUUCUCAGUUCGGAUUGGAGUCUGCAACUCGACUCCAUGAAGUUGGAAUCGCUAGUAAUCGCGGAUCAGCACGCCGCGGUGAAUACGUUCCCGGGCCUUGUACACACCGCCCGU
rnacentral:rRNA from 1 species